UUUAAUAUGGCAGAAUUAAGUGCAAUGAAUUUAAGAUUCAAAAAUAAAAUAAUUUUUUAUUAAAA
rnacentral:tRNA from 1 species